rnacentral:sRNA from 1 species
AGCAGCCGCGGUAAUUCCAGCUCCAAUAGCGUAUAUUAAAGUUGUUGCAGUUAAAAAGCUCGUAGUUGAAUUUCGGGGUCAGUAGGUCGGUCGUGCCACAGGUAUGCACUGGUCUCACUGAUUCCUCCUUCCUGAUGAACCGUAAUGCCAUUAAUUUGGUGUUGCGGGGAGACUGGACUGUUACUUUGAGAAAAUUAGAGUGUUUAGAGCAGGCUAACGCUUGAAUACAUUAGCAUGGAAUAACGGAAUAGGACGUUCGAUCUUAUUUUGUUGGUUUCUAAGAUUGACGUAAUGAUUAAUAGGGAUAGUUGGGGGCAUUAGUAUUCAAUUGUCAGAGGUGAAAUUCUUGGAUUUAUUGAAGACUAACUACUGCGAAAGCAUUUGCCAAGGAUGU